UACGUAGGGGGCUAGCGUUGUCCGGAAUCAUUGGGCGUAAAGAGCGCGUAGGCGGCCAGAUAAGUCCGGUGUGAAAGUCACAGGCUCAACCUGUGAAUGCCGCUGGAAACUGUCUGGCUAGAGUCCGGGAGGGGCGAGUGGAAUUCCUGGUGUAGCGGUGAAAUGCGCAGAUAUCAGGAGGAACACCGAUUGCGAAGGCAGCUCGCUGGGACGUUACUGACGCUGAGACGCGAAAGCGUGGGGAGCAAACAGG
rnacentral:rRNA from 1 species